UCCGUUAUGGUGUAGUGGCUAACAUUAUCGCCUCUCAUUCACGAAGUCCUCCUGCUUGAACGCGAUAGCCCAGGGUUUGAUUCCCUGUAACGGAA